rnacentral:rRNA from 1 species
AAACAGAACUUUGCAGAGAGAGUUAAGAGGGCGUGAAACCGUUAAUUGGCAAACGAAUCGGAGCCACGAAGUCGUUUCGUUGAUAGUUGGGCAGGGUUCAGCGGGAGUGACUAGUGCGCUCUCGUGUACUCUCUGCUCGACCGUUUCUGUAAGCGUACACUGCAACCAGUUAGACAAUUGGCGAGGGGCGAAGCUGUUGCGCGCAGUAAUGCUUUGGCUCCAUGAAUUUGGAUGUCCGAGGUGUUGGCGCGUAGCGAGUGAGCUGUUGCCAAACACUGACUGGCGAAAUGAAAAUCGCUUCUCUUUUGAGGGCGUUUUAGAGACAAGGCGGUUUGCGGGUCGUGCUGUUACGCAGCUGGCGCGUGAGUUUUAAAGCUCAGUGUUUUUAAAUUUGGACUUGCUUGCUACCAAUGGGGCAACUCUUGGUGCUUGUACAGCUUCCAUCUAAUUGGACUCUGACUUGGCUUGCGCUUGUCCAGCUGCGACUCGAUAGACGGUGCGAGCCAGCGAGUCUGCAACGUUAUUGGCAGUGAGUAGGUCGGCUUUCCGAACGACCCGUCUUGAAACACGGACCAAGGAGUCUAGUUAGGCAUCGAGUCGAUCGGUCUUGAAUAGGCCAGAAUUGUGCUUGCCGCUCGCGUGAAGGCGCAGAGAAUCAUGUGAUCCGCGGCAAACAACCAUGCUGCGGGCGCAACAUGUGCCUGCUCGUGUGCCAUUGCGCGAAAGUGGCAUGGGCGGAGUACAGAGAUGCCUGAUUGGUACCCGAAAGAUGGUGAGCUUGGGCAAAUUGAAGCCAGAGGAAACUCUGGUGGAGGAUUGUAGCGAUUCUGACGUGCAAAUCGAUCGUCAGACCUGAGUAUAGGGGCGAAAGACUAAUCGAACCAUC